ensembl:lncRNA
UAGUUUUUAAAUGACCUUUUAUUCUGAAGGAAUCUGCAGUUGUAAAAAAACAUAAAUAAAAAUAAAUAAACAAAACAGAAACGGUAUGCUCUUGUAGUGUGCAAAUGAAUCCCGAUAUUAUUAAAUCACUGACUUCUGUUUGCUCUGCCAUUCAUGUGAAAUAAUAUUAUAUGAUUUAUGAAGUGCACGACCAAUAAAGCAAAGUCAAUCAAGCUUCUUUACACAAUGUAUUAAACAUUUUAUAAUCAUUUCUGUACAUUGCAAUAAACAAAUGACACUUGAUUUUAUAAAACUGUCUAUGUAUCACAGUGCUUCUCUAUGGGAAUGAAAUAAACAAACUCAUUAAAUUCAAAUAUCAGUAAAAAGGCCUAUAAAAUCUGCUUCCGGGCCUCAUUUUGAUUAUUUUUCCAGUGUCUUGAGAUGAACUGAUGCUCAGUAAUCGUGAUAGUUUCCCUGUUCUUGGCUUAAUUGUUCAGCAGGAUCACAGUGAAAAACCUCUCUUUAAAGUUUGCAUGGAUGUUUCGACCCGAAACCUUGAGGACAAGUACGUUGCCAAAGUGUGACAAACUUUAAGAUAGAAAGUCUCUCCAAGGUUCACGUCUGUAGCAGAUAACAGCAGCGUCUGAUGAGGCACUCAGACUCAGUUUUCAGAUGCUUUCAAUCUCUCCUCCUGGAUCUUUUUGCCGCAGUUCAUGGCCAGAGUUGCAACGGCAUACGAGGACAGAAUCACAAUGGUGCUCCCGACGAAAUGAGAGGAGGCUCCUCUGGGCAUCACACGGAGCGGCCUGCGGGGGUAAACCGCGUCUGAGACCCUCACGCUCACCGUUUGGCUGAUGGGCUCCAUGUCUGCUCAGGUAGAGACAGACGUCUUUGAGAACAGCUGGUGGAGGUGAUCAACACAAGGCCUCUUUAUAGGGCCAUGACUGACUCUCAAGACACGUCAGAUCCUGAACGGGAAGCAACAGAUUACGUCAACAGGAUGAGAAACAGAUACUCAUGUGCGCGGUCAGGUAGACGCGAGGAUCUUAAUGCUUUAAGCUCAUUAGUUACGGGAAAAGAGGCACGUACUGUAGGCAAACAGCUCUGACAUCAGAAGUGUGAAACUAUUUACUCUUAUAGUUGUUUAUAACUCAUGUGAGGUCAAGCCGAAGGGCAAGGAAAGCAAAUAGAACUCGCAACCGCAAGGUCAUGGGUUCGAUUCCCAAGAAAAUGCAUAAUGCCAAAUGCAUAAGUUUAAAUAAUAUAUUCAUAUUUUCUUCAGAUGAUUAUUUUAUGGGAUACAGUUUAGUUUUUAUGGUACAUUAUAGAGUGAAAAUAAACAAAUAAAUUAUGAGAAACUCACCGUCCGGCAGGUUUUAUUAAAUUAU